CCACAAACAAAGAAAGCAUAAGAAAAACCAUGAAAACAUCAAGAUUUGUAUAUCUUAGACCCAAAGAUCUCAAGCAGGUGAACUACAAACAUCCAGGAAAUACUGCACUCAUCACCCUGAUCUUGAGAAGCAAUGUCUUACGUUCUUCAGUAUACAUACAUGUAAAACAUGUUUCAGUCCUCCUUGUGUUGAUUCGGUCUUCUUUAUGACUGAGACAAGAAAGCAUUCAACAGAAGAGUUUGUCAGAGAAAGUUAGAGGACAGGUUACUGAUACACGAUCUGAGUGUUGAAAUACCAACAGGACAGUCAGUGAUGGUGAGCUUACUCUCCUCUUAAUACUAUUAGAAAGAGAUGUGGGCUGACCAGUUAAAAAGGAGGAGUCUUUUGGGAGGAGUCCAAGGGACAAGAAUGGAAAUGCAGUUUUCUCUGGAGCAUGGCCAAAGAUUUUACUGCAAAUGUUGCAUUAUGCAAACUGUUACUUAUAUGUGAUAACUGAACAGCCAAGAGCUACCUCAUGCUAACAUUUUACUGAUGUCCCAUAAAGCUAACAACAUUUGUGCACCUCUUGAAAGGUGUUUAAGUCUUGCAUAUGUAUCCUUCCCAUCCUUGCUUUGAAUAGCUUCUUCAAAUGUAUUCCAUACUUCACCUAGUUUGUCACUGAAGAAAAAUUCUAUUCAAGAAAAACUUCUCAUUCUAUGUGGCCCAUUAAAACCAUCAUCAAAACAGGCUUCUGUAAAACCUUCAAUUUCUCAACUGAGACUUGCUGACUCCUAAUUUUGUUUCUUG
rnacentral:lncRNA from 1 species